rnacentral:rRNA from 1 species
ACGUAGGCAGCGAGCGUUGUUCGGAAUUACUGGGCGUAAAGAGUGUGUAGGCGGUGCUCUAAGUUCGGUGUGAGAUCUCCUGGCUUAACUGGGAGGGUGCGCCGGAAACUGGAGUGCUCGAGCGUGGGAGAGGAAAGCGGAAUUCCUGGUGUAGCGGUGAAAUGCGUAGAUAUCAGGAGGAACACCGGUGGUGCAGACGGCUCUCUGGACCGUAACUGACGCUGAGACACGAAAGCGUGGGUAGCAAACAGGA